GUGGGGAAUAUUGGACAAUGGGGGGAACCCUGAUCCAGCCAUGCCGCGUGUGUGAAGAAGGCCUUUUGGUUGUAAAGCACUUUAAGUGAGGAGGAGGCUACCGAGACUAAUACUCUUGGAUAGUGGACGUUACUCGCAGAAUAAGCACCGGCUAACUCUGUGCCAGCAGCCGCGGUAAUACAGAGGGUGCGAGCGUUAAUCGGAUUUACUGGGCGUAAAGCGUGCGUAGGCGGCUGAUUAAGUCGGAUGUGAAAUCCCUGAGCUUAACUUAGGAAUUGCAUUCGAUACUGGUCAGCUAGAGUAUGGGAGAGGAUGGUAGAAUUCCAGGUGUAGCGGUGAAAUGCGUAGAGAUCUGGAGGAAUACCGAUGGCGAAGGCAGCCAUCUGGCCUAAUACUGACGCUGAGGUACGAAAGCAUGGGGAGCAAACAGGAUUAGAAACCCGGGUAGUCC
rnacentral:rRNA from 1 species